AAUCUAUUUUCAUGAAUUUACGAUAUCGCCUCGGCCCUCCAGGCGAAAACGAAGCCUAAACAUCCGUUUCUUUAAUAACUUCGCAACGGCUCGACGAAUCGCCGAACCGACUUCGCCAAUGCGUUCGUUUACCUAACAAUUUGGUUUAUGGAGGGUCAAAUGAGAUCAAACCCAUAUAUUUUACAAAACCCCAUUCGGAGCCCUAACAUGCAAUUAACCUCUAAAUAAUCCAAAUUAAAUAGAGCAAACAUGUUUAGAAUGCUCAUUAGAGGCUAUUAAAACACUUAAAACUAAGGAUUAAGCCAAAUCCU
rnacentral:lncRNA from 1 species